GUCCCACGUGAAAUGGUUUAGAUCCUUCAAACAGUGUAUUUUCUGCACCGCCAGUACACAGAAGCGUUUUAUAACGAUCUUUACUGAUAACCCGAUAUGUGACCAUUGUUUAUUGCCUUUUGAAGAGCACUCCCUUCGUCUAUCCAACAAGACGCGUAGGUUCGGCGCUCCGAUUUGCGUGGAAGGUAUGUCGCAUCUGGCUGCUACUGGCUGGCGGACGUGCCGAACAGUUCAACACAAGACAGCACGAGUGAAAGAAAUGCAUGGAAAGAAGAGGAGGCGUGCGCUACGUUGAAGAACAAGCAUGGAACAACGCUGGGGUUGAACGCAAGGAUUCGACUUCCAGCAUUAUUUUCUCGCUUAAAAGAAACAUUGUUUCGAUCAAACUUUCAG